GGGACUUAAUCGAGAACUUUAAGAAUUUUUUACGACAUUUCAAAAUUUUCCCAAUGUGCAGGGCUCACAUGCCCGUGUGUUCCAAGGGAUACGCCCUUGUGACCCUGGGACACACCCUUGCUAGAGGCUGUGUUCAACCCCGUGUAACUCUCUGACUUGUGCACACGGCUAUGUCACAUGCCCGUGUACUAGGCCAUGUGGUUAAUUAAUUCAAUUUGA
rnacentral:lncRNA from 1 species